AUCAAGGAUAAUCCGAUCCAAAUGUCACACAUGUUCUAAAAAAUCCAAUUAAAUUAACGAUUGACUUGUUCUAAAGUCAUUCCAGCGAUAGAUUUGACUUUCAGUUAAAGCCAAUGGUUUUAUAAAAUUUAUAUUUAGGCUUUGGUGGUGCAAAAAGGAGAAGAAUGUGUAAAUUCAGGUCUCAUCGCAUCAUUAUUCAUGAAAAGGCGGCUAUGCUAAUGGCAAGGUGCCAUUCUUAACCGGAUUUAAAUACUUCUCGGGAACAAGAGGUAACAUUACAUGAACACCUGCCUACAAUUCAAUGUUCAUUAAGGUCUGCACUUUUAAAUAUGGUGGUCGGCCAAACGUGUUAACUGUUGACGGAAGUAGGAGGUCCUAAAAUUCAUGGAAGAUUAAUCAAACCGGUCAGUGGGUGUCCAUCAAAGUGGUAAUGAGCUUCCAUGUGAACAUUUAUUACCAGAUCUUGAUCAGCUGGGGGUGUUAUGCUGACAUAUGACCAACAUUACGACCCUAUGCCCACAAGACCAAGUUUUGCUUGCGAAUAAA